GCCAGCAGGGUGCGCGAUAGCAGAAGCAGGAAGAGAGCCGGGGGAAGACACCUACCCUGGCCGGAAGACACGAAGAUCCAGAAAAAGGCCAUCCGGGUACAACGUAGCAGUUACAUCGGACUGUGACACUUACUGUUUACAGGAGACUAUAAAACUUUGCCCAGUCGUCACUUGGGGCCCGCCUGCACCCAGGCCGUCAUUAAAACAGCAUGUUGCUCCACACCGCCUCGUGUUGUCUGUUGGUGUGCUCUCAGGGUGGAAACGAUACAAGAACGUUACACUUACAGGCUUUAGUUUAUAUUAUUCUCAUAGAAGACUUCCUCAUAAUCCAAUUUAAAAAAUGAGAGUUUCCCUGCACAAGCUCUUGCUUUGCCUGAUGCCAUCCAUGUAAGACGUGACUUGCUCCUCCUUGCCUUCUACCAUGAUUGUGAGACUUCCCCAGCCACGUGGAACUAUUAUGCUCCAAGACACUGAAUCUGAAAGGAUGCAUCCAGUCUUGCCAAGUGGUUUCACUACCAAGGCCAGUCUCCAUCUAUGAUAGACCCAAGGAAGAUCAUUUACAACUAGAAUCUAGUCAUUUAGGAGAUUGUGUGCUCCCUGGAUGGGCCAUCUGCACUGGUGUGAGGUUUAUCUCAUUGAAGGGAAAACCAAAGGAAUCUUCUUGAAUAUCAGCACCAGGAAGAGCAGUACAAACUGGAGAAGCUGGGGUAUGUAGGCAAUGGCUUCAACCCACGUAUUAUAUGUAUUCAAUUACUCAGAAGACCCUGUACUCCACUUAUUUUGGUUGAAUAAGCAGACUGUAAAACCAACAAAAAAUAGAAAUUACUUUUAGAUAGCUAGUAUAUGGGCUUAUUCAUGUCAUACCUCUCAUCCUUUAGAACCAGUUGUCUAAGUAUUGAUUAUACCACUAGGUGUCAACAUUAUUAAAUUAAAAAUGGUUGUAGCUGGGCAUGGUGGCUUGCACUUGUAAUCCCAGCUACUUGAGAGGCUGAGCCAGAAGCAUUUGUUGAGGUCAGGAGUUUGAGACCAGCCUGGGCAACAUAGCAAGACACCAUCUCUAAAAAAAG
rnacentral:lncRNA from 1 species